rnacentral:rRNA from 1 species
AUUAGAUCAAAAUCAAUCAGACUUCGGUCUGUAAUUGUGAUGACUCUGGAUAACUUUGUGCCGACCGCAUGGCCUUGAGCCGGCGGCGUAUCUUUCAAAUGUCUGCCCUAUCAACUUUCGAUGGUAGGUGACAUGCCUACCAUGGUUGUAACGGGUAACGGAGAAUCAGGGUUCGAUUCCGGAGAGGGAGCCUGAGAAACGGCUACCACAUCCAAGGAAGGCAGCAGGCGCGCAAAUUACCCACUCCCGGCACGGGGAGGUAGUGACGAAAAAUAACAAUGCUGGGCUUCAAGUCCGGUAAUUGGAAUGAGUACACUUUAAAUCCUUUAACGAGGAUCUAGUGGAGGGCAAGUCUGGUGCCAGCAGCCGCGGUAAUUCCAGCUCCACGAGCAUGUACGUAAGUUGUUGCAGUUAAAAAGCUCGUAGUUGGAUCUCAGGCUUGUGGCCAGUGGUCCGCCCGGUACGGGUGUGUACUGCUGUGCCCGGUCUACGUCUGGUCUAUGUCCGUAGUGCUCUUAACCGGGUGUUGCGGAAUGCCAGAAGGUUUACUCUGAAAAAAUUAGAGUGCUCAAAGCA